UCUGGCGGCUUUAGCGCGGUGGUCCCACCUGACCCCAUGCCGAACUCAGAAGUGAAACGCCGUAGCGCCGAUGGUAGUGUGGGGUCUCCCCAUGUGAGAGUAGGGAACUGCCAGAC
rfam:Enterobacter sp. 638, complete genome.